GGGGGGGGGUGAACAGAGUGAGAGAGUGUAGCGGCGUGAAGGCGUUCGGUAUAAAAAUUAAGGGCAGGUCUUGGAAAGGAGCCACAAAGUAAUACAAUGUUCCUUACUGUGGCUGCACCGCCUCCGCCGCUGCUGAUGAGAACACUGUGUUCCAAAUAGACACACUGACCUGUAACCCGUUCUGUGCGGAACUUGGUCUAUCGGGAACAGGCUGUUUCGGAACAAGCUGUCCUCCUCCCACUCAAGGUCAGCUGACAGCUCCGAUCGUCAACACCGCGCAAGCGCAACCGAGACGACUGACACCAGAGCGGCAAGCGAAACUUUCGGCAGCCAGAGUAGGAGAGCCUGGGGGGCUAGCUUGAUUAUACAGUAUUCCACGACACGCUGCUCACCAGCGUUUUAAAAUAAAUGUAUUUUUCGGAUUUCCACGGAAUAUUAUAUUUGAAAAAAAUAAUAAUCUACAUGAAUGGAUAAAAAAGCAAAGUAACACAGAGGCUGAUGUGCAGAUUGUGGCGGCAUGUUCUCCGGCUCGCUAUGCUUAUGUGGAAGUCAUGAUGACCUCAUCUGACCUGACGUGAAAUGAAAUGCUCGAAUAAAUGUUUAUACUGA